rnacentral:rRNA from 1 species
GACGAACGCUGGCGGCGUGCUUAACACAUGCAAGUCGAGCGGUAAGGCCCUUUCGGGGGUACACGAGCGGCGAACGGGUGAGUAACACGUGGGUGACCUGCCCUCAGCUCUGGGAUAAGCCUGGGAAACCGGGUCUAAUACUGGAUAUGACUCCAAUGACGCAUGUUGUGGGGUGGAAAGCCUUGUGCGGCUGAGGAUGGGCCCGCGGCCUAUCAGUUUGUUGGUGGGGUGAUGGCCUACCAAGGCGA